UACAGAGGCCACAAGCGUUAGGCGGAAUCACUGGGCUUAAAGCGUGUGUAGGCGGAUGUCUAAGUACCUUGUGAAAUCCCACGGCUCAACCGUGGAACUGCUUGGUAUACUGGACGUCUUGAGCCAGCUAGGGGCUACCGGAACAAAUGGUGGAGCGGUGAAAUGCGUAGAUAUCAUUUGGAACGCCAAUGGUGAAAACAGGUAGCUGGGGCUGUGCUGACGCUGAGACACGAAAGCCAGGGGAGCGAACGGG
rnacentral:rRNA from 1 species